AAAAAGGGCAACAAAAUAAGAAUUGUCAAAAGUAUGAAUCCACAACCAAAGUUCUGGUGUACUAAUAUUACUAGUAAGUUUAAGUGUAGAAUUUCUAUUGUCAUUAACAAACCAUGAGUCAAUAAGGCAGCAAAUUUGUGCAUUACAUAUUUACAAAAAAUUUUGAAUUAAGCAAAUAUCACAAAGUCAUACAUCAUGGCUCCCUAUGUUUUGUUGAGCAGAUGCAAGAAGAUCAUUGCAACCAUUCUAACAUCCAAGACAUCCCAGAAGUUCAAUCAUCAAAACCACAAAGAAGUUGGAAGUUACAAAUGACAGCACUACACGGUUCUUAAGGGAGUAUCAAUUGAAAUUAUUUAGGAGCAAAGGUUAAAAAAACAAAAAAGAAACGGGGAUGGCAUAUCAGAGUUAAUUUGGUAGUACACAACAUUGGGACUCCACGAGAUUCCAAGUUCAACUAUUUCCUAUGAAUCCAAACUUAAUGUGUACACCUUAAUCAUGGAUUUAUGAUAAUCAAACCAAAUCCUCACAACCUUGUAGUCAUUACUCUGGGAAUCAUAAGCAAAUCCGAGUGUAGCACAAUGAUGGGGUUUCAAAUCAAUACAAGAAGGUAACCAAGAGGACAAAAAAAAGGAACCAAAUCGUGCUUAUUGCCUAGCAAAAUUUAAGAAAACAAAGGGGGGCAAAAUUGAUUCAUAUCAAGCGCAGAGAUGGGUUAAGUGGUUCAGUUUAAUAGGUCCAAUAUUAUGCAUAAAUAGAUUUCAAUAGUUAAAAUCUAUUUGACUAACAUGAGGCGUAAAAUUUAAAAAAUAUAUGUAUAUAUAUAUAUAUAUUAAUUUGAUAUUUUAUGUCACAUUUUCCCACCAAUCGAAAGGCUCAGAUUUAUCAAAAACAAUUUUAAAAAAAUUAUUGCCAUUUGAUGACCUGCCAGAGCAUUCCCCUCUAACAAACUCUGCCAGGACACUCACUCCUACGCCCUCAAUGCCAUACCCUCAAAUACAAAAUUCUAUUUCCUGAUUCAUUACAACGGGCAGAGAGAAAAUCCUCUCUAGCCUCUCUCAUUUCUCUCCCUUUUCCUCCAUGACAAACCCAGAGAGAAAAACCCAAAAAUCCCACCAAAACACAGGGAAAAAAAAAAAAAACCAGAAAAAUUCAAAAUAGUGCAGAAAUUCAGUUAUAAGGGAAGACAGAACAAAGAACUUCAAUAAGUUUCUUCUAUCCCUAUCUCAUUCUUUUUCCCCACUUUUGUUUUUGUUUAGAUUCCAAUUUUCUCUACAUUUUCUUUGCAGCCAAACAUCAACCGGAGCAAUCACAAAAGGCUAAAUCACAAAAAGGGAAGCAACAACACAGCAAGCAGGAUAGAGAAAAAUAUCAACCAAAAAUCACAAAAAACGAAAGGCUUUAGAGAAGCAAAUGAAAAGAUAUAGAUCUAUAGACCCUAAGGGUUUAGCCACUCCAAGAGGAUAUUCAAUUUCUCUACAAAUCUGGACAUUUCGUACAUUUAAUGUACACAAUUUCCCAUUGAAUUUACACAGUUCUGGAUAUCCAAUUUCUCUGCAAAGAAAGACAUUCCAUACAUAUAUAAUGUACACAAUUUGACACUGAAUUUACGAAAUUCUGGAUAUUCAAUUUCAUCGCCAAACCAGAAAUUCCGUAAAUGAUAUGUACACAAUUUCUCGUAGAAUUUACGUAGUUUUGAAUAUUCAAUUUCUUUGCAA